ensembl:lncRNA
AAAGGCCAAAUCUGUCAAUUAUAUUAUUAACAUGUCAUAUGUAGCCUUUAUGGAAAGUUGACAGUGAGUUGAAACUGACAAAUUUAAUAAGAGGGAUGCAUGGUUAAUAUUUCAAUGAUAUAUCAUUUUCAAGUAUUGCAGCAGGCAUGAAAAUAUUGUAACUUGCAGGAAAGCCACUCAAACCAGAAGGAAUGUGUUAAUUACAGGCUAGAAAUAGGACUGAAAAUUCAAAAAAUCUCUGUGAGGAGUGCCCUACUCUCAUUUUGUAUCUCAAAGUUCUGUUGCAGGCAACAGAGAAGGGGAUGUCUCUAAGAUGUGACAUGCAUGUCUAGUAUAAAUCUGGAACCUAAAGUCGCAUCAGAUAAAUGAAUCAAGAAGGUAUUUGGAAAUCCAGAGGCAGAGGAAGGCAACAAAGGUCUCAAGUAUAUGCACAAAGAGAUCUCCAGGACAAAUCAAGAUCCUUCAAUGAGAAGCAUCAGAGCUCCUCAUAAGCUGUAAUUCAGCCAUGCCUAUUCCCUUUGGAGUGACAUGACGAAAUUUAUACACUUAAAGCACGUGAGAAGUAAAGAUAAGUUUGGAAGGCAUAUAAGAGAUCUUGCAGUGCUUAAUCUGUAGCUAUUGAAAAUUCACAAGAAAGUGAAAGGGGCUGGCUGAGGAAGAGACAAGUCAAAAUAAGCUGGGAAGAAGAAGGUCAAGCCUUAAACAGAGAACAGGGAUUUCACUUAUACCUCCUGCCAAGGGAGAGGAAUUCUGGAUCAGUGAUUUGGCACUUACUGAUGGACUUGGUUAAAGUGAACUGCUUUGGGAUUUGCUUAACAUUUUAACUUUGGCUGGAACAAUUUCUUCAUGGUUUUAUGUGUGUAUGUGUUUAAGUUUCCUUUGCACUGACUGUAUCUGAAAAACAAAAACAGAUCACUUCUUCUAUUAAAGGGAAAGUCCUGACCAGGCUAAACUCUUCAAUCAGGACUCCCAGAGGCACACUGGUGGAUAUCUAUACUUUAACGUAUCUGAAAAUGAAGGCCAACUCUUUCAACAGAAGGAUAAAAAUGUCUCUGCUUACUUACAUGCCUAUCUGAGGACAACGAUCAGCUUCUAAGUUGUUUUUUUGCUAUGUUUUAAUUAUUUUGUCCAAACACUUAGAUAUUCUACAGGACAGAUGUUAAAGGGUAAUUUAAAUCCAUGGCUUUCAGAUAAUUAUCUUUGCUUGUGCUUUCCCACUUCUCAAGAUGAGUACACGGAUCUAAUAUGUGACCUGACUAUCUACUUCAAAUCUGCCUGAUACUUACAUUUUCCACUUUCUUAACCUUCUACACUUUAUCUUGUCACUGUGGCAGAAAAUGCAACUUGGUUGACGUUCACCUGUUACAGAGAGAACUACAGCACAGAGCUCUAACCCAGAAGACCAAUCCAGUAGAUAAACAUAUGCUGAAAGAUUCCUUACCCAGUUAGCAGUUACUCAACUUCUCCAGGUUUUCAGGUGACAGCAGAAUCUGAGUGGAUCUGUGCUGAACUUGCUUUGCAAGAGCUUAUGUGCUGGGCUUGUCUGCAGUUUAGAAUGGAGGAAGCAUACAACUAAUUUUUUUUUUUUUUAAGGACAUCAUAUUCAGUUAUAGCCUAAAUGGUUUGCAUCUGGAAAACACUGAUGAGAUGAGUCAAGAUCAGUGGUUUUAGAGCUUUAAAUUCAAGCUCAUUUUUCCCCAGGAAUCUGCUGAUGUUUGAAACAUUUAUACCACUUUCUUUGUUAGGAGCUUUAUGCUGCCACCCGCAACCAUAGUAUAUAAUCACAGGUUUACCUUGAAGUUACAGCAUGUUUUUGUUGUAGUUUAAUGGGAGCACAAUAAUCUUUCUACUUUAUCAAAUACAUCUGCCAAGAUUGUCAAAAAUAUCUGGCCAUUGCAUAUUUACAGAUCCUCAGAUUAUUGAUUAUAGCAAUGGGAAGAAAAAUGAAAAAAAAGUAAAUGUGGGAGAACAUUCUUCCACCAAAACCAACAAAAGAGAAUUGUGGUUGGUUGGCAUCUCUUUUACAUAAAAUUGAAAACAAGUGGGUUUGAUGGUUGUACUUUGCCUACGUUCCUUGUGCUGACCACUUAUGAACCUAUAUUUACACAUGUUCUUGUAAAGUGAGAGUCUGUCUGAGCAAAACAUAGUGAAAGAAAGAGACAAGGGCAUGAAAUCUGUUUUUGUUUUGAAACUUUUUCCAUCAUAUAUCAUGCUUGCUCUCUCUUUUCAGUACUGAGGUCAGUCUACUUUUUUUCAGAAAUGUUUCUUUUUACCUUAGAAAUCAACCUUUAUCUGUAAAAAUAGAAGACAACACAGAAAAGUUUCAGUUAUUUCAGCAAAAUCUAAAUAAGCCAUAGGCCUAGAUAAAUAUUUCAUUCACAUUAAUAAAAGCAGUUCUGUUGUUUAGCCUUGACA